UUCUAGUGGCGGACGGGUGAGUAACGCGUGGGUAACCUGCCUUAUACAGGGGGAUAACAGUCAGAAAUGACUGCUAAUACCGCAUAAGCGCACAGAGCUGCAUGGCUCGGUGUGAAAAACUCCGGUGGUAUAAGAUGGACCCGCGUUGGAUUAGCUAGUUGGUGAGGUAACGGCCCACCAAGGCGACGAUCCAUAGCCGGCCUGAGAGGGUGAACGGCCACAUUGGGACUGAGACACGGCCCAGACUCCUACGGGAGGCAGCAGUGGGGAAUAUUGCACAAUGGGGGAAACCCUGAUGCAGCGACGCCGCGUGAAGGAAGAAGUAUCUCGGUAUGUAAACUUCUAUCAGCAGGGAAGAAAAUGACGGUACCUGACUAAGAAGCCCCGGCUAACUACGUGCCAGCAGCCGCGGUAAUACGUAGGGGGCAAGCGUUAUCCGGAUUUACUGGGUGUAAAGGGAGCGUAGACGGAUGGACAAGUCUGAUGUGAAAGGCUGGGGCUCAACCCCGGGACUGCAUUGGAAACUGCCCGUCUUGAGUGCCGGAGAGGUAAGCGGAAUUCCUAGUGUAGCGGUGAAAUGCGUAGAUAUUAGGAGGAACACCAGUGGCGAAGGCGGCUUACUGGACGGUAACUGACGUUG
rnacentral:rRNA from 1 species